GGUUACCGGAGGGAGAGCGGGCUGGAAGUUAGGUUACUGUGAAUUGCUGUGUGGUGUUGUGUGUGGUGUGUGUGGGGGGUGGGGGGCGGCGCGUGUAGGCCGAGUGUGUGAGUGGACGCGUGAAUGUGUGAAUGGAUGAGUUAAUGUGUGAGUGCGUGUGCCUGCCCCUGCGCCCCCUCCCCCGGCCUACAUGUUGAUCUUAUUUGAUCGGGUUGUGACUCCAGCCCCGCCGGGCCGACCCAAAAUGAAAAGCUUCCCUCCUGCGAAGCCCUUCCUCGGGGCGCUGUGCAGCGAGGCCCCUUGGGCGGUGGCAACGCCGUGGCCCCGGAGGUUCCGGAGCCGGUCCUAUGGUGCCUGGCGCUCAAAAGUGAUGAAUUGAUCAGAUAGACGAGGCCGGUCUUGUCCCGCGCCAUUGAUUAUCGAGGCGAUUCUGAUCUGA
rnacentral:snoRNA from 1 species